rnacentral:rRNA from 1 species
GACGAACGCUGGCGGCGUGCCUAAUACAUGCAAGUUGAGCGAUGAAGAUUGGUGCUUGCACCAAUUUGAAGAGCAGCGAACGGGUGAGUAACGCGUGGGGAAUCCGCCUUUGAGCGGGGGACAACAUUUGGAAACGAAUGCUAAUACCGCAUAACAACUUUAAACAUAAGUUUUAAGUUUGAAAGAUGCAAUUGCAUCACUCAAAGAUGAUCCCGCGUUGUAUUAGCUAGUUGGUGAGGUAAAGGCUCACCAAGGCGAUGAUACAUAGCCGACCUGAGAGGGUGAUCGGCCGCAUUGGGACUGAGACACGGCCCAAACUCCUACGGGAGGCAGCAGUAGGGAAUCUUCGGCAAUGGACGAAAGUCUGACCGAGCAACGCCGCGUGAGUGAAGAAGGUUUUCGGAUCGUAAAACUCUGUUGGUAGAGAAGAACGUUGGUGAGAGUGGAAAGCUCAUCAAGUGACGGUAACUACCCAGAAAGGGACGGCUAACUACGUG